CUUCCUUUGAUUUAUAAGUUGCUUUAGCCCAGUGGGUCAUUAAUGCCCUCUUCAUUAGAGCUUGUUUACGGGAUUAAACACGUUUGGAGAGCCAAGCUUAGCAAAACGUUUGCAUCAUGGAACAAGAAAAACUUGGCUGACACAGAUGCACGGACCAUUUAAACCACGGAUGCUGUGCAAACAGUCCUUUUAAAGUGUACUGUGGAGUUCACGAACGGUCAAACCAACAGCUCAAUGGAGGACAGUGCGUCAGCUCAAAGGAUCCCCUCUGAUCCCCGGUGGACUCUUCAAAUGUAAGUUGACAAGAAGAAAAUAACAGCCAAUCCCAUGUGAAAGCCCCUCUCCCUUUGAAGGUCUGCUCUGGCCCAGCCAAAGAACAAUCUGGUAGUGAUUGAGAAGAUGACAUCAUCAGAAAGGUUGGAGUUGAGGUGGCACAAGAGAGAGAUAAAGAAAGAGAGGAGAGUGAGCGUGUGUGCCUGUGAGCAUGUGCAUGACAAUGAGGGAGUCAACAAGAGCUGGCUGAAGGUCACAUGACAGAAGAAAAAGAGUGGAAAAAUGAACCAAAUGUGCUUUCUCAAAACACCAUGUGCCUUUUGGCAGCUGUUGUGGCCUUGUGUGUUACUGCAUGGACUGUGCGCGUGAGUGGUGCGUGAUUUUGCUAACUGUAGGUUACCCAUCUACACCCCCUUACACAAUUCAAAC